AGGGCUGUUGUUUUUGCCUGUCAUGGAGUUCCGUUCAUUCUGAACAUGUCACCGGGGACUUUGGAAUGUGUAUCCAUAACUCCCUGAUUUUCAACCACAUUCCAGCCUGCCUGACUCAUGAAGCGUGGAGCGACCCAGGAACAUCCCAGCUCCUCAUGUCCCACAUUCUUCAGGCUUUCUCUUAGUUUUGGCAUGUGCAUGUAAAUGUCAACAGAUCAAUAAAGGCAAAAACCAGGAGAUCCCAUAAAUCCCGCUGAGCCUGUCAUAGCUAUCAAAUUAUACCCAGAUAAAGCUUCUGGUGGCUAAUGACAUGGCCAUCACCCAGCGUGGACGUGGGCAGGAGGGGCUCUCCGGGAGCAUCUGGUCUGCUGUGGAGACACUUGUCAUCUGGAGGCUCUGUGGCUCUAAUGGAGGGUGAUGCUUUGAACGCGACUAUCUCCCCCAUAAAAAAAUAAAUAAAUAAUAAGUAUAAUUUAAAAAUAAACAAAGAUCUGGAUUUGCAGGCUA
rnacentral:lncRNA from 10 species